GUGAGGAAUAUUGGGCAAUGGGCGAAAGCCUGACCCAGCCACGCCGCGUGAGUGAUGAAGGCCUUCGGGUCGUAAAGCUCUGUCGUAUGGGACUAACAAAAUGAAGGUACCAUGCAAGAAAGGAUCGGCUAACUUCGUGCCAGCAGCCGCGGUAAGACGAGGUAUCCUAGCGUUGUUCGGAAUUAUUGGGCGUAAAGCGGGUGUAGGCGGGCCUGUCAGUCAGGUGUGAAAUCCCAGGGCUUAACCCUGGAAGUGCACUUGAUACUGCAGGUCUUGAGUGUGGUAGAGGCUAUUAGAAUUCUUGGUGUAGUGGUGAAAUACGUAGAUAUCAAGAGGAAUACCGGAGGCGAAGGCGGAUAGCUGGGCCAACACUGACGCUGAGACCCGAAAGCGUGGGGAUCAAACAGGAUUAGAAACCCUUGUAGUCC
rnacentral:rRNA from 1 species